AAUAUUGGACAAUGGGCGCAAGCCUGAUCCAGCAAUGCCGCGUGGGUGAAGAAGGUCUUCGGAUUGUAAAGCCCUUUCGGCGGGGACGAUGAUGACGGUACCCGCAGAAGAAGCCCCGGCUAACUUCGUGCCAGCAGCCGCGGUAAUACGAAGGGGGCUAGCGUUGCUCGGAAUGACUGGGCGUAAAGGGCGCGUAGGCGGCCUGGACAGUCGGAUGUGAAAUUCCUGGGCUCAACCUGGGGGCUGCAUCCGAGACGUUUGGGCUGGAGUGAGGAAGAGGGUCGUGGAAUUCCCAGUGUAGAGGUGAAAUUCGUAGAUAUUGGGAAGAACACCGGUGGCGAAGGCGGCGACCUGGUCCUUUACUGACGCUGAGGCGCGAAAGCGUGGGGAGCAA
rnacentral:rRNA from 1 species